UACGAAGGGGGCUAGCGUUGCUCGGAAUCACUGGGCGUAAAGCGCACGUAGGCGGAUUGCUAAGUCAGGGGUGAAAUCCCGGGGCUCAACCUCGGAACUGCCUUUGAUACAGCACGUCUCGAGUCCGGAAGAGGUGGGUGGAAUUCCUAGUGUAGAGGUGAAAUUCGUAGAUAUUAGGAAGAACACCGGUGGCGAAGGCGGCCCACUGGUCCGGUACUGACGCUGAGGUGCGAAAGCGUGGGGAGCAAACAGG
rnacentral:rRNA from 1 species